GGUUCAGUACAGGUGCUGUGGGUAACCUCAGCUACUGGCUGUACAGCAGGCUCUAAGGCGGGUGGGGCUGUCAUCUGCUUCACUGUUGGUCUGGCAUGCUGGGGAUGGCAUGGCUACACAGCAGGCUCACUAAGGGCGCUGAGCUGGGACCUGGCUGACUGUUGGACAAGGUAAAGGUUCAGCGAGCUCUCCGAAGAGGAGGAAGAACUGGAGACCUAGUACAUCAGACAAAUUUGAGGAGUCUCAUGGAGAAGGUGCACAGAGAAUGUGAAUGGUGGAUCGUCCGUCCCACACUGAGAAGGAAGUGCUCUGCUUGCAGAUCUUCCUGGGUGCUCAGACAUCAGACUCCAUUUGUGGGAAUACGGUGCAUUGUGGGAGGGGCGAAGGGUGCCGACCCAGGAGGAACGCAGAGCAGCAUGGGCCCUGCAGCCUGUGUAUGGCACAGCCAGACCUACAGGCUGGCGGAUGGCUCAGUGACUGCAUGCUAACUAAGCUGGAUGCAUGUGUGAAAACGUGUGCCAGGAAAAACAGUGGGCGAACUUCACAGUCAAUCGCAGGAGGACACUCGCAAAGCAGAGAGUAGAGCUGUGAGCUCAGGCUGGACCACCUGCUGCAGCUCAGCGCAGCCUACGUGGACCUGGCAAAGACUGAGUCUGAGCGAGGGAGAUUAGGUGAACACGGAGCCCCAAGGUGGUCACCAUGGAGAGCACCAGCGCCAACUGGAGUCACUUAUGUCAAAACGGAACAGCAGAGCCGAGAGGCCACGAAGGGAGGUCUUCAGGCCCUAUCUGCCCUGUGAUGGGAGCUGUGGCCAGACAUCCUCGAAACCACAACCACACACGAGGUACCUCAGCAGGGACAUCUACCCAAGCCGCUGGGAUUACUCUUCCCAAUAGCAUCAAGGUUGCUACUUACCUUUCAGUCAAGGAUUAGUGCAUCAAAGCAUCUACUGUCCUUUCCCUUGGUUUACCCUUGAAUAUCUCUUUCCCCUUACUUUCCUGAGUAUACUUAAAACCACCACUCCCCCACCCCCACUCACUCUGACAUAUACCCUGAAGGUGCAAAUUUCCUUGCUCAAUCUUGAAUAAAACAGUUUUUUCUUUA